MSARKUCGCCCUUAGAGUUUGAUCCUGGCUCAGAACGAACGCUGGCGGCGUGCUUAACACAUGCAAGUCGAACGUGAUCCAGAGCUUGCUCUGGUGAAAGUGGCGCACGGGUGAGUAACGCGUGGAUAACCUGCCCUGGUAUCUGGGAUAACAUCUCGAAAGGGGUGCUAAUACCGGAUAAGCCUACGGACUCCUCGGAGUCUGCAGGAAAAGGAGGCCUCUAUUUAUAAGCUUCCGUAUCAUGAUGGGUCCGCGUACCAUUAGCUAGUUGGUGGGGUAAUGGCCUACCAAGGCGACGAUGGUUAGCUGGUCUGAGAGGAUGAUCAGCCACACUGGAACUGAGACACGGUCCAGACUCCUACGGGAGGCAGCAGUGGGGAAUUUUGCGCAAUGGGGGAAACCCUGACGCAGCAACGCCGCGUGAGUGAUGAAGGCUUUCGGGUCGUAAAGCUCUGUCAGAGGGGAAGAAAUGGGUCGUGCUAAUAUCACGGCUUCUUGACGGUACCCUCAAAGGAAGCACCGGCUAACUCCGUGCCAGCAGCCGCGGUAAUAC
rnacentral:rRNA from 1 species